rnacentral:rRNA from 1 species
UACGAAGGGGGCUAGCGUUGCUCGGAAUUCCUGGGCGUAAAGGGAGCGUAGGCGGGUUAUCAAGUUGGGGGUGAAAGCCCGGGGCUCAACCUCGGAAUUGCCUUCAAAACUGAUAACCUGGAGUAUGGAAGAGGUAAGUGGAACUCCGAGUGUAGAGGUGAAAUUCGUAGAUAUUCGGAAGAACACCAGUGGCGAAGGCGACUUACUGGUCCAUUACUGACGCUGAGGCUCGAAAGCGUGGGGAGCAAACAGG